rnacentral:rRNA from 1 species
AUUGAACGCUGGCGGCAGGCCUAACACAUGCAAGUCGAGCGGAUGAAGGGAGCUUGCUCCUGGAUUCAGCGGCGGACGGGUGAGUAAUGCCUAGGAAUCUGCCUGGUAGUGGGGGAUAACGUCCGGAAACGGGCGCUAAUACCGCAUACGUCCUGAGGGAGAAAGUGGGGGAUCUUCGGACCUCACGCUAUCAGAUGAGCCUAGGUCGGAUUAGCUAGUUGGUGGGGUAAAGGCCUACCAAGGCGACGAUCCGUAACUGGUCUGAGAGGAUGAUCAGUCACACUGGAACUGAGACACGGUCCAGACUCCUACGGGAGGCAGCAGUGGGGAAUAUUGGACAAUGGGCGAAAGCCUGAUCCAGCCAUGCCGCGUGUGUGAAGAAGGUCUUCGGAUCGUAAAGCACUUUAAGUUGGGAGGAAGGGCAGUAAGUUAAUACCUUGCUGUUUUGACGGUACCAACAGAAUAAGCACCGGCUAACUUCGUG